rnacentral:snoRNA from 1 species
GUUUUGUCUUUUGUGUUUAAUAAGAGUUGUGAUGGCCCAUGCGAAAGCAGACUGUGGCCCUGAACCAUUGCCUGGCUUUACCCUGUGGGCUUCAGGCACUGAAGCGGGUUGCACAGUG